rnacentral:lncRNA from 1 species
UCAAUUCCUCAUAAUCUGUUUUUAUUUAGCGUAUGAGGUAAUCUUGAACUUUGUAACCUUUUGCAGUUUUCUCUUCUGUACUGCUUUAUCAGUAAAAUGUACUUGGAUAAAAAAAGAAGGAAUGUCUAUAUCAUUAAAUAACUUAAGGUUUUGAACCAGAUGAGAUUGUUGAGGACUCUCACAACAAGUAUAUAUUUUUCACGAGCACAAUCAGGUUAGGUGAUGAUUAAGCAACAUAUAUGAUCUCUGAAUAUGUGGUUAUGUCCGUCCAAAAGACGAUAACUAUACAAACUACGCGGUCUGAUGCAAAUUCUUGGUCAUAAUCUGGAGGCGAUGGAACAAAAUUGGGCAUUUAUAGAAAUUUAAUUUUCCAUGUUUUUGGUCUGGAUCAAGUUAAAUGUGGCAGUUUCAAUUCUCUGCAAAACAUAAAUUUCAACAUAUAAUAUUACUCUUCAUUUUCUUAAAACAAAAGAACGUGUGAUAGGAACAUGAUGAAAAUAAAUUUAAGAAGGAGAUCCACGUCUCAUGUUUAAAGAGAAUAUAAAAAAAUAGUUCACGUGAUCCUUAAAACUUCACAAAAUAGAAGAUGUCACACUCCCUUUUUCAUACUCCAAAAAAGAUUAAUUCUAAAGUUUUGAAAGGAUUUUUAUUGUUAAAGUGACAAAAGUGAAGAUUUGUUUCGAAAAGGACUUUUUAUAUUUAAAACUCAGAGUCGCCACUUGGCAUAAUCCGGUGUGCCAAGUCACCUUUGGACAAUCCUUUUCAAAACAAUUUGACUCUUUAAAACUGGUUUGCAAACAGAGAUUCCGGCUAAGGAAUUCUGUUGACCGAGGGGAAGGUGUUAGGCACCCCUCGAUCCCGUGGAUUGACCACGGUCGCUUGGUGGAGCGUAUCGACUGAUUUGACACUAAAAACGUAUAAACCACACAAAAACACACAAAACAAUCAAACAAACAAAAAUAAAACAAUCUGAAAAUAUAGUGUCCAGUCCGAAUUAUACAGUCCCAAAAAUAUAAAAAUACAAAAAUGUAACUCCUAUUCUAAACUAAUUCUAAACUAUUCUCCAAUACCUUACCCGAUGCGUCGGGCCUUGAUCACGAACAUCCUCCGAAUACAAAAUACUUCGGGGCAUUCCCCGGCCAAAUGAUACACUUGAUCCAAAUAAGAUAACAAAAAAAAGUUCAAAACACACAUUUAAACAUUCAAGGCAUUCAAUCAACACAUCACUCCUAAAUUUUUGCCUACCCAAACCUAUAUUGCCUAUUCAUUUCACCAUAUCGUAAAUCUAUCACGUUCAUGCUUAUCCCGAAUUAAAGAAAAUGGCAACGGAACAAAAUUUAACUACAAUCAACUUCUAUCAAAUUCUUAAUUACACCCCUAAAUUCAUUCUCAACUAAUGAUUAACCUAGCUUCGAUUAUCAAUUCAAUUUCUCGCACCCAAAUUCAACAUCAACCAGCAUCAACCAUACACACAGUAAAGGCUCAAGCAUGAUAAGCAUACCAAAACAUUCACGUCUGCAAGAACAAUCAAAAUUUGAGAUAAAAAUAGAGAAUGAAAGAAAUGGACCUCAAGUUUCUCUUUCAAAAUCAAUGUAUUAUUUCAAUUAAAUCCGACUUCUCCACAUCCGAAGCCUUUGAGUCGAACCUCAACAGCAGACCCAGUCCAAACUCGGUACUACCAAAAUUAAAACCCCGAACUGACCACAAUGAUCCAAUAUCUCGCUAAAAUCUAACGGAAAAUCAAACACCCGCAAGGUUCAAACUCCGAUGAGUCAUCGGUGAUGCAGACGACCAGAACAACCAGUCGCCGGACGGAUUCCAUCUGAAAUUGAAGAACAACGGAGGGAGGUUUGACCGUUUUAUACGAAUGACGAACGGAAGGGAUGACUCCGGCGAAUCUAUUGCCAGAACAGUAACCCGAAAUCAACCCUGCUUCCUUCUUCGUUAUGGAUCUAGACCUCUCUCACUCUAUCUCCCUCCCAUUCUCGAAUCUCUCUCUCUCUUUCUCUUCUCCCUCUCAUGAUCUUUCUCUCAAUCUCUCUGUGUGUCAUUUUCUAUUUUGUGAUGAGAAAACCAUGUGCGAAGCCUUUUCCGAUGACAACCAGUGUGUGAUAUAGAUUUAUGUGUUCUUAGUGGAAUCAGAUGGUGAGUAUGGGUAUGGUCAUGAAUGAAAAAUGAAGCUCUACCAUUGUUGUGAUAUGCGUGUAUGGUAUUUUAGUGGUGUCAGGUGGGUGUUAAUGGUGGAGUGAUGGUUUUGUCAUGGUGUUAAUGGAGUGUGUGCGAUGGUGCUGAUUGUGAGGGAAUUUUGUGAAGGUGUCUGUGGUAAUUGUAUAUUCCUUUUUAUUUGUGAGAGUGUAUAUAUAUUAUAUUUUGUUCCCUUAAAACAAAAUGGUUCCUUGUGGGCUUUCCUGGAAGUUUCCUAGUGGGCCCCUUUCUAAUUUUUAUCCCUUUUUGCCUUUGUGGACAAGAAAUAUGAGGGGGAGGGGGUCACGUGGGUAUGGGGUAUUGGGGGUAGGGGUAUGGGUAAUUUGUCUUCUUUUAAUUGAAAGGGUUGUUAGGAUGUUAAAAGAAUAAAAGUUUGUUAGGAAUUUUGUUGAGAGUUAUUUUUUUGUAUUUUUAUGGGAUGUAAUUACAUGGGAGAGGGUACACGGUAGGAUAAGGUAAAAAUGGAGAAAACGAUAUCGGGGAGGGACGAAAUUACAUGUCUACAUCAUGCUCCCUUUGAAUGUAAACACGCAGUGUUUUCAGACAAAGAAGUAAACAACGAGACCAAAUUUUAUCUCGAUCAUUAUUCAAAGAGAGGAGUAAAAGAAAGAAAGACAACCGAAUCCUUUAGGACACCCUACCUACCCAAGUCAUGAGGAAGUUAAGUGAUAGGUGUUUCAAAGGAUUGGAAAGAGAUGGACUAUACCGAGUUGGAGAGUCGAGUGAGGUUCCAUAGAGGUUUCAAAACACACAUUUAAACAUUCAAGGCAUUCAAUCAACACAUCACUCCUAAAUUUUUGCCUACCCAAACCUAUAUUGCCUAUUCAUUUCACCAUAUCGUAAAUCUAUCACGUUCAUGCUUAUCCCGAAUUAAAGAAAAUGGCAACGGAACAAAAUUUAACUACAAUCAACUUCUAUCAAAUUCUUAAUUACACCCCUAAAUUCAUUCUCAACUAAUGAUUAACCUAGCUUCGAUUAUCAAUUCAAUUUCUCGCACCCAAAUUCAACAUCAACCAGCAUCAACCAUACACACAGUAAAGGCUCAAGCAUGAUAAGCAUACCAAAACAUUCACGUCUGCAAGAACAAUCAAAAUUUGAGAUAAAAAUAGAGAAUGAAAGAAAUGGACCUCAAGUUUCUCUUUCAAAAUCAAUGUAUUAUUUCAAUUAAAUCCGACUUCUCCACAUCCGAAGCCUUUGAGUCGAACCUCAACAGCAGACCCAGUCCAAACUCGGUACUACCAAAAUUAAAACCCCGAACUGACCACAAUGAUCCAAUAUCUCGCUAAAAUCUAACGGAAAAUCAAACACCCGCAAGGUUCAAACUCCGAUGAGUCAUCGGUGAUGCAGACGACCAGAACAACCAGUCGCCGGACGGAUUCCAUCUGAAAUUGAAGAACAACGGAGGGAGGUUUGACCGUUUUAUACGAAUGACGAACGGAAGGGAUGACUCCGGCGAAUCUAUUGCCAGAACAGUAACCCGAAAUCAACCCUGCUUCCUUCUUCGUUAUGGAUCUAGACCUCUCUCACUCUAUCUCCCUCCCAUUCUCGAAUCUCUCUCUCUCUUUCUCUUCUCCCUCUCAUGAUCUUUCUCUCAAUCUCUCUGUGUGUCAUUUUCUAUUUUGUGAUGAGAAAACCAUGUGCGAAGCCUUUUCCGAUGACAACCAGUGUGUGAUAUAGAUUUAUGUGUUCUUAGUGGAAUCAGAUGGUGAGUAUGGGUAUGGUCAUGAAUGAAAAAUGAAGCUCUACCAUUGUUGUGAUAUGCGUGUAUGGUAUUUUAGUGGUGUCAGGUGGGUGUUAAUGGUGGAGUGAUGGUUUUGUCAUGGUGUUAAUGGAGUGUGUGCGAUGGUGCUGAUUGUGAGGGAAUUUUGUGAAGGUGUCUGUGGUAAUUGUAU